rnacentral:lncRNA from 1 species
GUCUUGACUCCAACGACCCUCUCAUUGGGUCUAGGUGGAAGGAUCCUUGUGCCGGUUGGCACCUUGAUGGUGGUCUUCGUCUUGGAUGAUGAUCCCUUGAGAAGUAGGGGUUGUGGUGGUGCGGUGAGAACUGGUUGAGCAUGAUAGGAUUGGGCGGAGCUGCGUUGGCGUAAUGGCAUGGCUUCUAGCUGUCUUUCUGUGUUGGCCGGGACGAG